rnacentral:ncRNA from 1 species
UUAAAGUUUUAUUCUAACUUAAAUAGUCGAUAAAAUAUUUUUGUACAUGUAAGAUUUAACGUGGAUUUUUUCUCUUUAAAAGGUUAGUUUAUUUAAUCGCAGUAUUUAGUAUUAAUUAUAAGUUAGGGCUUGAAUUAGGAAUUAUUACUAGUAAUAACUUAGCUUGUGCCAGCAGUUGCGGUUAUACAAGCAUUACAAUCGAAUUUUAUAUAAUGAGAAUAAGGAUUAAUUAUUGGUUAUUUGUACUUUAAAUUUUUAAGUGAAAUUUAAAUUUUUAAUUAAAUAAGAUUUUUCGAUAUUUUGAAACCUUAACUAUAAACUAGGAUUAGAUACCCUAUUAUUACAAGGUGUAAAUUUUAUAUUAGAUUAGUAUUAGCUAUGCUCUUGAAAAUUAAAGAUUUUGGCGGUAUCUUAGUCCAUUCAGAGGAGCCUGUCCUGUAAUUGAUACUCCACGAUUUGUUAAAUUUUCUUAAUUAGUUUGUAUAUCGUCGUGAUAGAAAAUUCUAAUAAGAUAGAAAUUUUCGUGAUCUAGAUUGUAGAUUAUAUCAGAUCAAGGUGCAGUUCAUAGGAAAGUAGAGAUGGGCUACAAUAAUUAUAUUUAUACGGAUAAACUGUUUAAAAUGGUUUUGAAGGAGGAUUUGAUAGUAAUUUGAAUUUUAAUAAUUUAGGUGAUUUUGGCUCUAGGAUAUGCACAUAUCGCCCGUCGCUUUCAAUUAAGUUGAAAUAAGUCGUAACAAAGUAGGCGUAUUGGAAAAUGUGCCUAGAAUGCA